ensembl:lncRNA
GUGAAGAAGAAAAGAAGAAGUGAAGAAGGUGAAGAAGAAGAAGAAGAAGAAGAAGAAGAAGAAGAAGAAGAAGAAAGUGAAGAGGGUGAAGAAGAAGAAGAAGAAAGUGAAGAAGGUGAAGAAGAAGAAAGUGAAGAAGGUGAAGAAGAAGAAAGUGAAGAAGGUGAAGAAGAAGAAGAAGAAGAAGAAAGUGAAGAGGGUGAAGAAGAAGAAGAAGAAGAAAGUGAAGAGGGUGAAGAAGAAGAAGAAGAAGAAGAAGAAGAAGAAAGCGAAGAGGGUGAAGAAGAAAAGAAGAAAGUGAAGAAGGUGAAGAAGAAGAAGGUGAAGAAAGUGAAGAGGAAGGUGAAGAAGAAGAAGGUGAAGGUGAAGAAGAAGGUGAAGAAAGUGAAAAGGAUGGUGAAGAAAGGUGAAGGUGGUGAAGAAGGAGAAGAAACAGUUUGGGGGUGUGCUGUUACACAUCAAAAGUCAAAAAUAAAUCGAACACAGGAUGGUGUGAUGAAGUGGAGUUACUUUCCUGUUACAGUACAAAGCACUGACACUAGAGACUCCUUCCAUAAAUGUUAAAUAAACAUCUCCUGACUGAAAUCUUUACCAUUAACAUUCGUUACUAUAGAAACCAUGACCGUCUUGAUCUUGGAAAAACGUGCGUGACCCCGAUUACUGACCUUUAACCGUGACCUUGUGCUCUCCUGUGCCUGGAUGAGUGAACAGAUCGAUCUGUAUGGACACCUCUCCUACUGGCUUAUCCACACCUGAGCCUACACACACACACACACACACACACACACACACACACACACACUUUCAGAAGGCAGCAUGUUGUCAUUUUUUCACUAGUACUAAGGAAGUUUCAACACUAUGUGUUGCAUAUAGCUGCACUGAUGAGGAGACACAGCAUGUAGGUGAACUGAGCUGGGAUGAGGGUGUGUGUGUGUGUGU